rnacentral:rRNA from 2 species
AGAGUUUGAUCCUGGCUCAGGAUGAACGCUGGCGGCGUGCUUAACACAUGCAAGUCGAACGAACCUUCGGGUUAGUGGCGGACGGGUGAGUAACGCGUGAGAAUCUGCCCUCAGGAGGGGGAUAACGGUUGGAAACGACCGCUAAUACCCCAUAUGCCGAUAGGUGAAAUGAAUUUCGCCUGAGGAUGAGCUCGCGUCUGAUUAGCUUGUUGGUGAGGUAAUGGCUCACCAAGGCUUCGAUCAGUAGCUGGUCUGAGAGGAUGAUCAGCCACACUGGGACUGAGACACGGCCCAGACUCCUACGGGAGGCAGCAGUGGGGAAUUUUCCGCAAUGGGCGAAAGCCUGACGGAGCAACGCCGCGUGAGGGACGAAGGCCUCUGGGCUGUAAACCUCUUUUCUCAAGGAAGAAGAUAUGACGGUACUUGAGGAAUAAGCCACGGCUAAUUCCGUGCCAGCAGCCGCGGUAAUACGGGAGUGGCAAGCGUUAUCCGGAAUUAUUGGGCGUAAAGCGUCCGCAGGCGGCCUUUCAAGUCUGCUGUUAAAGCGUGGAGCUUAACUCCAUUAAGGCAGUGGAAACUGAUUGGCUUGAGUAUGGUAGGGGCAGAGGGAAUUCCCGGUGUAGCGGUGAAAUGCGUAGAUAUCGGGAAGAACACCAGUGGCGAAGGCGCUCUGCUGGGCCAUUACUGACGCUCAUGGACGAAAGCCAGGGGAGCGAAAGGGAUUAGAUACCCCUGUAGUCCUGGCCGUAAACGAUGAACACUAGGUGUCGGGGGAAUCGACCCCUUCGGUGUCGUAGCUAACGCGUUAAGUGUUCCGCCUGGGGAGUACGCACGCAAGUGUGAAACUCAAAGGAAUUGACGGGGGCCCGCACAAGCGGUGGAGUAUGUGGUUUAAUUCGAUGCAACGCGAAGAACCUUACCAGGGUUUGACAUCCUGAGAACCUCUUAGAAAUUUGAGGGUGCCUUCGGGAAUUCAGUGACAGGUGGUGCAUGGCUGUCGUCAGCUCGUGUCGUGAGAUGUUGGGUUAAGUCCCGCAACGAGCGCAACCCACGUUUUUAGUUGCCAGCAUUUAGUUGGGCACUCUAGAAAGACCGCCGGUGAUAAACCGGAGGAAGGUGUGGAUGACGUCAAGUCAUCAUGCCCCUUACACCCUGGGCUACACACGUACUACAAUGCUACGGACAAAGGGCAGCAAACUCGCGAGAGCUAGCAAAUCCCAUAAACCGUGGCUCAGUUCAGAUCGUAGGCUGCAACUCGCCUACGUGAAGUAGGAAUCGCUAGUAAUCGCAGGUCAGCAUACUGCGGUGAAUACGUUCCCGGGCCUUGUACACACCGCCCGUCACACCAUGGAAGUUGGCCAUGCCCGAAGUCGUUACUCCAACCCUUGUGGAGGAGGACGCCGAAGGUGGGGCUAAUGACUGGGGUGAAGUCGUAACAAGGUAGCCGUACCGGAAGGUGCGGCUG